rnacentral:lncRNA from 1 species
CUCCUCGGACGUUUGGCGUCUGUCUGGGGUGCAGAUCAAGCGGUCACUAAAGAGGUCUCGUGAGUCACUCGGAUCGAAGCCGCUGAUGUCCAUCCCGCCCACCUCUUCCUACGCGCUGCCGCAUGACACUCUGCUCAGCGUCCACACCA